rnacentral:piRNA from 1 species
UCCACUGAGGUGUCAAAGUACUCCCA